UUCUAACGCUACUAAUUUAGCAGAACUCUGAGCUGAAUCUUGAGGUGCUUCCGUGGUUUGGGCUCGUAGCACCACAUGAUUCAGCUUACGUUUCCGCUAACUACCAUCGCAUCUUGAAC
rnacentral:precursor_RNA from 15 species